CCCUUUUCUAUUGUUUUUGUCUGCGCGAUUAACACGCAGCUAACCUCGAUUUAAACAACAAUACUAUGUCUAUUAUAUAUACUAUGUCUAUUCUCAUAGGCCAAUCCACUGGUUACUGGUUUCUACUUGUAUGUCCCAAAUGAUGGCUGUGAAGCAGAGUAAUGUCAUAUUUACAUAUACUUUUUGCAUUGAAAACUAUUCUAUUCUUCCAAACAGGGCAACCUGAAUGCUUCGGUAAACCUUCCAAAAACACCCGACCUGGACACGGUGAAGCAAAAACUUAUCAAGGUAUGUUUAUUUUAUAUUUCCAUGAUAAUAUACAUGAAAAAAAUUCUCGAAUCUUAAGUGCGCACUUCACAGAACACUUUCCCGUUAAAACACAAUAUUUUGAUCCUGAAAUAACUAAAAUACUACAGGAUUUCAGGUGUGGCCACCGAAUAGCGCACCAAAUUGCAAGAUAGUGCACAUUGUCUUGUCAUAUCAUUGUAUGUGGCAAUAAAAUAUUGUCACAGGGACAGCGUAAAAGCAUAACACAACAUCUUGUAUCCUUGGUGGAGCGAUCAGCGUAUUAGGAACCGUGGCAAAGUUUCAUAAACUUGCGAAAAUGCUCGCUAAUGAUCAUGAUCGUAAAAUAUACAGUUUAGUACACAUGACAACAAGAAGUGUAUUCGUACGGACUACAGGAAACCCGGCCUAGUUUGAACAUAUACUGUAAAUUGUAAUAUUCCUGAAAUAUGACGAUAUAAUAAGUUUUCGUGGCAAAACUCGUGUAUUAUUGUGUUUACUUAUUUAGUGGUGAUAUUAAGUAACUCGCGUGACACCACGCCUUGUCUUUGCAUGCUCUUAACCCUUAAAGUGGCAAUGCACCCCGAUGCGACCAACUUCAGUAUUUUACUCUAACGCCAGACGAUUUUACUCGUCAAGUGGAGAGUGCUGCCACUCAAUGGGUUAAUCUGUACGUUUUCCCUAUUUUUAGUCUCCGAAUCUCCCCAAGAAAAUUGAGAAAUUUAAGAAUUUUAUGAAGACAAAUAUGAAAAUUACGGAUGAAAAGGUGCGUAUGUGUGGCGUCGUUGUAAAGACCCAGGGGCCAGUUAGUGAAUAUGAAAAAAACCUAGUUUUCUUAGCUUUGAUUUGCUAUAGUUAUAGACAACGUUUAUUUUUAAAAUUACUUCGCCAAUGAACUCUUUAGCUGGGUCGUUCUUUUAACCAUUUAAAACGCUCGCAGUCCGUGCUUUAUCAGAUAUAACUGAACACUUGAGUUACCCUCUCGUGUUUUACUGUACAUAUAUCUGAUACAGUGGCGCCGCCAGCUCGAUAAUUGGGGGGGGGGGGNNNNNNNNNNNNNNNNNNNNNNNNCCCCCCCCCCCCCCCCCAAUUAUCGAGCUGGCGGCGCCACUGAUCUGAAAAAGCAAUCCUGUUCAUGUUUUGAAUACUUAACAUGCACAACUCAACGAAAACGAACGAAUAUUCAGUUAUGUUAAUAAGGCCAUAGGCCCAUAGCUUAUUUUAUAAGUCAAGAUUACAAAUAAACAUGCAUAUAUCAAAACGUAGGUUAUUGUUUAGCAAAUGGCUAUAAAUUGAAUCAAAACUACCGAAGUUUUACAUAGUCUUUGGGAUGUGUUAUUUUGGUUUUAGGCAUACGCAUACAUAUAUGUUUUUUACCGGCUGGGAGGUCCGUACUGAAACAUAUUUUCCCAUGGUCUGGAAGCGGCCCGGGACCAAAGGUCGAGGGACGCUUCUGAGAGCGAGGGAAAUAUUUGUCAGUACGGAGCGACCUUAAAGUGCUUAUGUCACAAAAAUGUUUUGAGUGUUGAGUAGAGGUAAAAAGUUAGUUAAUAGUGAGUAAAAAGUUAGUUAAUAGGUUCUUUAACAUUUUUCGGUUUUCUCUUUUUAUUUGCGAGAUAUGCGGCUCUAAACAGCGAUUUUCGUGAAAAUGUCACGUAUCAACAAGAGUCUGGGACGAGCGUGGUGUGACGUAGCUUUAAUAAGGGACUUAAUUACGACGUUCCAUUAUACAUUUGUUUAUAUUUGGUAUAUUUUCCAGUAUGUCAGGCAGUAGCUCGGAUUCGGAAAGCACUCAUGGUUCUCAAAGUGACUCAGAAUACAAUUAUAUUCCUAGGCUAGGUAUAUUAUAUAGGAUGAAUCAAAUGAUAUCAGUCACGAAAUUGGAACUCCAGAAGUUGAUAGCGAAAUUGUAGGCGAUUAUGAUGCAUGCUUUGGGUUAAUUUGAUAUUUUCUGGUUUGAUUUUAAAAAUGUUGCUGUAUUUUGGCUAGUAUAAGCGGUAUCUGGCUUUAUUAUUAUUAUUCAUCUUAUUUAAAAACGGUAGCCCUUCAUACUUCAGACAAAGAAUGAAGAAUAAAAAUUUUAUGGUUCAAUGGUUGAAAAAUCAACCAAGAUGGCCUCCAUUGCAAACGGGCAAUUAAUUUACUUAUUUUGAAGCUAUACGCGAUAACAAUUGCCAAUCCUACAGGCUAAUCACAUGUACGCAAUGCGUACCUGUUUUUAUCAGUUGUACUUAAAUCUUUUAUUCUCCGUGUAUAUACCUGUACUAUACCUGUACUAUACCUGUACUGAGUGGGAGUAUUGAGUUGUUAGAGGAAGAAAGGUAACUCGGCUGAAAUAACGAAGUAAACCAUGUAUUAUUUGUUAACCGCUAAUCAGUUACUUCAGCGUUUCUAUAAAUUCUUCUUCUUUGCAAGUUGCAAUAACUGGUGCCCAAGUGAACAUCCCAAGUCCACGUAUUGAGGGAGUUCUGUUUCCUAACUUUGUGAGUUGUGACUUUAAUGGUCUGGACUGUUUCAACGAAUUACAACAAUGUUGUUGUGUCGCUGUGUCAUACCAAUGAGACUGAUUAGCUUGUUUGUUACGUGGAACGGUAUCUGGUUAUAAUAUUCGUAUAAUAUCAGACGAAAAUUCAUGAUGUGCUGUCUCUACCAAUGAGCAGGCCAUUUUCUAUAUUUCUAUGAGCAGGCCAUUUUCGUUGAGUUGUGCAUGUUAAUGUACUUAAAAUAAGGUUUAGACGCCAUACUUUUUAUGAGCCAAACUUUUUUAACUGAACUAAUUAAGUACAUCAGAAGCACGCCUGAAUCAAAUAAUCACGGUACUUUAUAUUAAGCACGGCAAGCACGGCUGGAUUGAAAAUGUGUGGGUUGACUCGCACAGCCGUGCUUGUCAUAAGCCGUACCAAAUGCAUAAAUUAUGAUGAUAAUAAUAAAAUGUAUAUAUUUCUAUUGCUCUCGUCCCCAAGCGCGGGAAAAUUAACACCACGCGGGAAUCAAUGGACAACAUGGCUGUCUGUAUCACUUAUGUAUGGGGAAAUAAAGUACGGGCCGUCGGGGCCGACCUUAACGUUGAAAAAUAUUUUCGCUCGGUCUCAGGGCGUGACCGCGACCUUCGGUUUCGGGCUGUUUCUGUGACAUAGUGUCUUUACCAGAGGUUGAAAAAACAGUCUGAAGCCAGUAGAAACGUUCAUGUUUUAUGAUGUCACGAUGAAGGAAUGCAGCGUGGAAAGUGAGGUUAUUGAGUUGUGAACACGCCACAAGUUUAUAUCAGGACAGCCUAAUAAGAGUUAGGCCGUUUGCUGCGUCCCGAUAUCGUUCACUUUCAUUUCCCAUGCAUUGGAACUGAAAUAUUUUUAUGGGAACUAACACUUUCGAAUACGCUGAGUUCAAAUCCGAAAAGUUCCCGCUCCGUAGACCUGCAGUUUUCUCACAAACUGCAAUUUUUAUCUUCACUAAUUUCACGACAACUUUUUUCAUUGUUCAACGACACGUUCGAUGACGACAAACGAUUAUGUCACUCAAAAAUACCAAUUCCUAUUAACCAGCCUUCCUUUUAACAAAAGACCGGUUUUGCUCGAAUCAUUUUGAGUUAUGUAAUAUUAUGCGUGUUGAACGUAAACAAUAAAGCUUUCUAGAAUCCUCAGUUCUGGCUCUAUCUCAAUAAAAUCACAAGGACGUUAAUGUUAAGUCUUUUGGGUAUGUCUCUGGGCUGAGAAAUAACUCUUUUAACGCGAUCAAGGAAUUUAAAACAAAAGUAACGCGAAGCCAACGGAACGGCAAAGACAACACUAAAAUGAAAUAUUGUCGAUGGAUUGCCGGUAGAAGACGUACGACAGGAUCACUCUAAAAUAAUCUUAAACUAGAAGAAUUAAUGUUCACAUCAAAGACAAAUAUCAGUGCCAAAGUAUAAAUCUGCUCUGUAAACUUACGACGAAGUGGAGAAAUGUGUGCAUGAGCUGUUUAUUUGAUGAUUACAACGUAUAUGAAAGCCCUCUUUCCAAUAAUACUCGCUAUUAAUCGCACAGAAUAACACCAACUGAUAUAAUAGUUCAAAUGCAAUGAUAAGUUACAGUUUCCUCUUGAAUUACUGUGUUGGAAAUUUAUAAAUGCUGAUCCAUUACAUAACUUCACCGUUUUACAUCGUUGUAAAAAACAUUUUGAUCGCAUGUAAAGAAUAAUUUCUCAGCUCAGAGACAUAGCCAAAAGACUUAGCAUUAACGUCCUUGUAAUUUUAUAGAGAUAGAGCCAAAACUGAGGAUUUCAGAAAGCCCUAUCUGUACCUUCGCAAAGUUGUAGACAGGAUAUGUUGUUUACGCCCAACACGCAUAAUAUAACAUACAGUGUGAGUUACUCACCCUGUAAAUCAAAAUGAUUCGAGCAAAACCGGUCUUUUGUUAAAAGGAAGACUGGUUAAUAGAAAUUGGUCCUUUUGAGUGACAUAAUCGUUUGUCGUCAUCGGUCCGUGUCGUUGAACAAUGAAAAAAGUUGUCGUGAAAUUAGUGAAGAUAAAAUUGCAGUUUGUGAGAAAACUGCAGGUCUAUAAAGCGGGAACUUUUCGGAUUUGAACUCGGCGUGUUCAGUUACAAGACAGGUGAAAUGAAAAAUCGUUUUCUAGGCACUUUUCGAGGUCACAGCAAACGGCCUCAGUGGUUGGAAACGACACAAGCGAAAAUGAAAAGAGCCAUUGACAAUUUGUCAAACUAAAUAAAGUUACUAACAAGGGAAAUAACAUUAAAGUUCCACGCUGCAUUCUUUCACCGUGCCGUCGUAAAACAUGAACGUUUCUACUGGCUUCUGACAGCAGUCUUUUCAACUUACGCACUUCCCAGCCGGUAAACAGUAACGUAUAUUUAUUUUAAUUUACGUACUUCACGUAUGUCCUUUACUGAUUUACAGAUUGUCAAAGACUUGUGGACAUUUGUACAAACCAACAAAAAGUAAUCUAUUCACAGCAUCCGUGAACGAUGAGUUGCACGACUGAAGGACUUGUUCAAUACUUCACAUUCAAGUUCAAGCAUAACCGACCACCAAAUUGUUGGUGUCAAAAACUUGAAUGAGCUUAUUGAAAGCUCGUAUCUUACAUCAUGUUAUACAUGGCUGGUUGGUGUUCUAUUUUAAUUAUAUAUUUCUAUCAUGUAAAUUGCAUAUUGAUAUCCUAAGUGUUUAAUUUUACUGGUGUGGCGGAAUGAGAUUCAAUAAAGUUGCUUUUAAUUCUUUGUA
rnacentral:lncRNA from 1 species